rnacentral:tRNA from 1 species
UGCCGUGGUACCGUGGACACACAACGGCGCGGGGUGGAGCAGCUCGGUAGCUCGCUGGGCUCAUAACCCAGAGG